GAUGAACGCUGGCUACAGGCUUAACACAUGCAAGUCGUGGGGAAACGGCAUUAUGUGCUUGCACAUUCUGGACGUCGACCGGCGCACGGGUGAGUAUCGCGUAUCCAACCUGCCCCUUACUUGGGGAUACCCCGUUGAAAGACGGCCUAAUACCCGAUGUGUUUCAUUGACGGCAUCCGAUAUGAAACAAAGGUUUUUUCCGGUAAGGGAUGGGGAUGCGUCUGAUUAGCUUGUUGGCGGGGCAACGGCCCACCAAGGCGACGAUCAGUAGGGGUUCUGAGAGGAAGGUCCCCCACAUUGGAACUGAGACACGGUCCAAACUCCUACGGGAGGCAGCAGUGAGGAAUAUUGGUCAAUGGACGCAAGUCUGAACCAGCCAAGUAGCGUGCAGGAUGACGGCCCUAUGGGUUGUAAACUGCUUUUAUGUGGGAAUAAAUUGGCGCACGUGUGCGCCAUUGCAUGUACCUCAUGAAUAAGGACCGGCUAAUUCCGUGCCAGCAGCCGCGGUAAUACGGAAGGUCCGGGCGUUAUCCGGAUUUAUUGGGUUUAAAGGGAGUGUAGGCGGUCUGUUAAGCGUGUUGUGAAAUUUAGGUGCUCAACAUUUAACUUGCAGCGCGAACUGUCAGACUUGAGUACACGCAGCGCAUGCGGAAUUCAUGGUGUAGCGGUGAAAUGCUUAGAUAUCAUGAGGAACUCCGAUCGCGAAGGCAGCCUGCGGGAGUGUUACUGACGCUUAAGCUCGAAGGUGCGGGUAUCGAACAGG
rnacentral:rRNA from 1 species